GAGGUGAGUCUUCUGUCGUCGUUUGAAAUGGGUCAGUGUCUCAGCUGUUCUGACCUCCACAGGGAGGUCAUUCCACCAUCGUGGGGCCAGAACAGACAGGAGAUGUGUUCUGGAAGUGCAGGUGCGAAGAGGGGGAGGUGCUAGGCGUCCUGAGGUAGCAGAACGGAGGGAUCUGGCUGGCAUGUAGGGUUUGAAUAUCUUGUGGAGGUUGCUGGGGCUGAUCCCUUGACUGCCUGGUAUGCUAGGACCAAUGUUUUAAAUUUGAUGCGAGCUAUAACAGGCAGCCAGUGGAGGGUAGUGUGCAGGGGAGUUACGUGGGAGUGUCUGGGGAGGUUGAAGACCAGACGAGCCGCAGCAUUCUGAAUGAGUUGCAGGGGUCUGGUGGCAGAUGCCGGUAGUCCAGCCAGAAGAGAGUUGCAGUAGUCCAGGCGGGAUAGAACCAUUGCUUGGACCAGGAGCUGGGUUGAGUAGGUGGUGAGAAAGGGGCGGAUUCUGUGGAUGUUGUACAGGAAAAAUCUGCAUGCCCGGGUUACUGCUGCAAUGUUGUUGGAGAGGGACAGCCUGUUGUCCAUCACCACUCUGAGAUUCUUGGCGGAGGGUGAUGAUGUCACUACGGUGUCCCCUAGGGAAAUGGAAAAGUCGAGGAGGGGAGAGGAUAGAGCAGGAAUAAAGAUUAGCUCCGUCUUUCCCGGGUUGAGCUUCAGGUGGUGAUUGUCCAUCCAGCUCUGAAUGUACCUCAGGCAAGCGGAGAUGCGGGCAGGGACCUGUGUGUCCGAUGGGGAGAAGGAGAGAAAGAGUUGCGUGUCGUCGGCAUAGGAGUGAUAGGACAAGCUAUGGGCAGAUAUUACAGGGCCAAGGGAUCUGGUGUACAAGGAGAAGAGAAGGGGACCGAGGACUGAGCCCUGGGGAACUCCAGUGGUGAGGGUACGGGGUGGUGAUACCUUACCCGCCCAGGCAACCUGGAAGGAACGGUCAGAGAGCGAACUCCACCCAACCUGCAUCCACUGACACUGAUUCAGAGAACUCCACCCAACCUGCAGCCACUGACACUGAUUCAGUGAACCCCAACCAACCUGCAGUCUCUACCUCACUGGCCUUUCCUGCAGCUGUUGGAGUUCUGGCUCCACAAGGAGUCCUAGCUACAAAGAAAUGAAUCAAAGUGCCUUAUAAACACAAAACUGGAUCUCAGAAAAGAAAAACUUGAUGGCUUUAAAAAAAAAGGCAGUCACAACUCAAUCAUGGCAGAACUCUGACCACAACUAGCCUUCAUGAGGAAUUGCAUUAGUGUUGCUAUGAAAUUAGCGGUGGUCGAAGAACUCGGAAAGCCACGCAUGAUGGACGUAACCUGCAAAGCAAGUCCCACGAGGCAAGCGGCCUGUGAGAAGGAUCAAGCUGCGUGUCUUGGAACAGAAGAAAAGGGUGAACAGCUUCCCCUUUUCCACUACAACUCCUAAAUAUUUUGUACUGGAAAUCAGGAAGCAUUCCAACAACGGAACCAAUAUCAAGGACUCAAGUAAGGCUAUAAUUUUGGGCAUAUAGCAAAAUUGGCGACGGACUAAAUGUAACAACAUUUAUGAUUGAAUGUACAUGACAGUGCUAAUGGUUAUUGUGUUUUAAUGAUUAAUAAACAUUCCAUGUGUUACCGUUCUCUUGUGGUUGGCUCCUAGGCCAUCCACCAUGCUGCGGUAGUUUUAAUAUAUAUCACACAGGGUCCGCACGGACCUAUGCGGACGGCCGCGCGCAGCCCUAAAUUUGUGACCGUGCGGACUGUACGCAUAGCAAGCGCGCCGACUGCGCAUGCUCCAGAUAACAAAAUUUAAUGGAUGCUUUUUUUGAUGAGAGUUGUGCGAGGAGAUCCGCCGUUACCCACAUUUAUAUUGCCUAUCUGGGCAUUCAUAAAAAUAUUCUUUCACCACUCAAAAAUCGUAUUCCGUCAUAGCAACAAGAUAAAUCCAACAUUAGCCCUAAGAUAUGCCAAUACAGCAGUGACAACGCUGCUGACUGAAUAAUGAAGUUUUUAAAAAUGAUACCAUGUCAUUCUACAGUCAAUAUCUGGGACUAAAUAUUGAAUAAAUAUACAACCUUCCCAUUGGUUUUAAGCGUAAAGAAGUCCCUUUUGAGUCUGAGUGGUCAUAUAUUGUUUUUGACAAUCCGUUUGUGAAAUACACGCGCAUUUGUGAUGCCUGGGUACCUUCCAAAAUAGCUGUGCUUAAUACCACACCUGUUGUUUACGACGUUGUCGCCCUUUUUAGUACAGUCUGGCUUGAUUGACAAUUCAUUUAUUCAGUAGGUGAAUAUUCAUUCAUUUAUUUUUACAUUCUCUGGAUUAGCGGUGGUCGAAGAACCAGGAGAGCCACGCACAUCCGAUGCAUCCUGCAGAGAAAGUCCCAGGAACAAGGAUCAGGGUGCGUGUUUUGGAUCCAACCAUGCGAAAAGGGCUAACGGCUUACCCUUUUCCACCACAACUCACACAGACUUUGCACUGGAAACCAGGAAACAUUUCCAACAACGCGACCAAAGGACACUCAAGACAAGGACCAACAGCCCCAAAUGCGGCUCAAUAUGUCUCAGCUUGCUAUAACCUGAGGGACACUGAGUGACCAUCCUACAUAAAUAUAAUUAUCUAUUUAUUUAUUUAUUUUAUUUUAUUAUUAUUAUUCUUUUAUUUUAUCUUAUUUUUUUCUUUAAAUGCUUGUGCCGAUUGAACAUUAAUAUUGUUAUUGUUCUGUUUAUUUUAUAGAAUGUUCAACUGUUAUUAGUAUUCCACUGUAAAUAUGUAUUUUGAAUUGAUUCAUGAUGCUUUGGCAAUAUGUACAUAUGUAUUUCCAUUCCACUGUAAAUAUGUAUUUUGAAUUGAUUCAUGAUGCUUUGGCAAUAUGUACAUAUGUAUUUCCUGCCAAUAAAGCAAUUUGAAUUUGAA